rnacentral:lncRNA from 1 species
UAAAUAUAAAUAAAAUAAGAAAACUAGUAUGGUGUCUUAUUAGAUGUAAUAAAUAAAGUUGUCCAGUUAAAUAUAUUUUCCCUGUUAUCUAGGAGGGGUUAUUUGUUUGUAUUGAUGUAUGCUUUUGAACUCGUGAAUGGGUUUCAACGUCCCCUUGUGUACGAAGGUUCAGUUUGGUUGGACAUUUUGCGUUCACUACCCUGUGCAUAGGGAGUGCAUGAGGCAACUAGAGUGGUUGAGUAUUCUGUCUGUAUAUUUGUUUUGUUAUCUACGUCCCUAUUCAUGGUGUUAUUUAGUGUAUUCUAUCCUCUUAGGUAUAGGCUCAGGCAGUUGCAGGCGUAGGUACAUGAAUAGUGUAACUUAAUUAAAGAUUAAUAAUAUUGUAAUAAAACUGUGUCGGAAGAUGAAUCAGAAUCAGAGUCUCGGUGAUUUGAUUCCUCUAUAAGAUUUGAUUUGAUCGGAUCCAUUCUGUUAUGAUGCCUUUAGGGCCAUGAUAUGUUUUGUAUGAUAAUUUUGGUUUGGGUUCUCUAAUAAUAUAAAAUGUGGAGAGACAAAACGAAUUAGACUAAUUUGUAAAUUAUCUGAAUAUUUCACAAGUAAAUAAGUAUUUGUUUUUAAAUGAUGGUUGUAUGUCUUAAUUAUUGCCUAUGGUACUGAGUUUAUUAGAACUUACCCCAAUACAACCCCCUCCCAGAUGAUGACUUUAUAAGCAUCCUGAUGAGGCCUGUUUGGACCCGUUCCAAGAUGCUUAAUGGGAGCGUUGGAAGACUUUCUCUUUUCUAUUUUAUUUUUGACAAGUUAGAUUUUUGGGCAAAUCCAUAACAUUUGUAUGUAGGAUUUGAAGGCUUAGUGCCUCAGUACACUAUGAUUGUAAUUGUUGUAAGGGAUGAAUAUUGCCCAUUUUAUUAUUUAAAUGCAUUUUUAAUAUGCUCAGUUAUACGUAUGAUGAGUGCCGAAUCCAUAAAAAAUGAUAUCCUAUUCUAACAACUAAUGGAAUUUGUAGUAGUGACAAAAAUCC